AGGAGGAAUAUAUUAUAGAUGUAUGGGGUGCGGGACAAAUAUUACCGAUUAAUAAAAAAUGGUAGUAUAACUUAAAGUCGUCUCUUAUAAGCUUGAGUGUAAAUAACAUAGACACUGUGGUAGAGUUUGUGAAUUAUCUAAUAUGAUAGCUAAAUUUGAAUAUAGCAUAAAGUUCGACCAAUUUAUCAUAACAUUACUAUGAAUAAAAGCUAAAAUCCUACCAACUUGCACCGUCGUUGUUGCUAAGUGCAUAAUUGGAUCAGAAGCCACUUCUUAAAGAUGUUAAAAAAUGGGGCCAUUGUUUUAAGGUCCAUAAUUGGAUCAGAGGCCCGACUUUUACCCGGCCUGUUAUACUGGCAGAGCAGGAAGCAGGUGGCGUGGGUUAAGGGUUUAGGAAAGCUCGCCUCUUUCUGCGUAAAUUGGGAAGAAGAACCCAAUAACAAACACUAACCUGAGUAGUAGAAAAAGCAAAAGCUUGGUCUCCGGCACCAAAUUUAAAGAUUGUUCAUAUUGACAACUUGUCCGGGGCUUCAACCAUAUUGUUUUCUUUUGCAUUGGAUCGUGGACUCAUUUGGGAGUCAGCGUAUGCGUUGCUUGAAGAGAAGCAAAAGGAUGAGUCUAGUUCAACUAAUAGUGGAUUCUAUGAAUCCAAAUGAGAAUGGUUGGGAAGACGGCAUUUUCUAUUAGCAUUUGAAGGUUCUGCUUCAGGAAUGUACGAGGUAUUUCGUCCAAUUGUUGGAGAGGCCCUUAGGGAGAUGCCCCUUGCACAAUUGAAAGACAAGUACCGGAAACUAUCUUCCUUAGAAAAGGCCCGUCGUGGAUGGGAAGAUGAAUAUGACGUUUCAUUGAAA